GAUGAACGCUGGCGGCGUGCCUAAUACAUGCAAGUCGAGCGAACAGACGAGGAGCUUGCUCCUCUGACGUUAGCGGCGGACGGGUGAGUAACACGUGGAUAACCUACCUAUAAGACUGGGAUAACUUCGGGAAACCGGAGCUAAUACCGGAUAACAUGUUGAACCGCAUGGUUCAACAGUGAAAGACGGUCUUGCUGUCACUUAUAGAUGGAUCCGCGCCGCAUUAGCUAGUUGGUAAGGUAACGGCUUACCAAGGCAACGAUGCGUAGCCGACCUGAGAGGGGGAUCGGCCACACUGGAACUGAGACACGGCCCAGACUCCUACGGGAGGCAGCAGUAGGGAAUCUUCCACAAUGGGCGAAAGCCUGGCGGAGCCACCCCGCGUGGGUGAAGAAGGUCUUCGGAUUGUAAAGCUCUUUUAUUGGGAAAAAAAAAUUGUAUAAGAAAAUCUCCACGUUUUGACGUUACCAAAACAAAAAGCCCCGGCUAACUCCGUG
rnacentral:rRNA from 1 species